ACUGCAACAAGUGCAUUAAUGAUGCUCGUCAGCUCGAUCCUCCAAGAAAGACCUAUUUGAACUGGAGUAAUCAUCGAAAUAAUGAGCUUUUCUUGUUCAACUUCGGAAGAUAUGGCAUAACUCCGUAUUUAUUUUGUGCGGGUACUUGACUACCAACAGGUUUUGCCGGUCGGUGAAAGCGAAAUUUAAGAAGAAAGAAACCCCGCAAAGCUUGCGUCAUUUAGAAAAAGUUUAUAAGUGAGCUCGUGAGCUAGCUCGAGUUGCUAGCCAGCCCAGUGUCUUUACAAAGUCAGCCAGCCAGUUGUCUCAAUAUGUCGCGGGGUAACUAGUUCGCAGCGCACUGGUCGUGGUUUUUGUUCACCCGACAUGUUUUUGCGAGACGACGACGAGCGCGAGGCAGCCAGCCGUUGGAGCUCAGAGAAACCCAGGAUACUCCACGAUGGCUGAACAACACAAACAUCUGCUCUGUUGAUGUGAGAAGAGGAAGGUCAGGAGGACAACAUCAGCGACUAUGAGCAGGGCAGAACAACAGGACAGGGUCUCGUCCACCAGCGAAGACUCUCUCCCGGGCCUCCACAACUCUAAAGCUGACCCGCUGAUCCGAAGCCGACCCCUCAGUGACAUAUACCCAUUCCACAGUCAUGCUGACGGAAGUGUAGCCCCAUGUCGGCCGUCUGGGUUUGGCGCCCAAGUACAGCCGGUGACUGCAGGUCACGAAAACCGAUUGAAUGGCAUCAACUCCUCCUCCUGGUCCAACCCUGUUAUAGGUCAACCUGAGGGAAAGCCUUAUUCCUCAAGAAUUAUGAGGCUUUUUUCCAACUCGAGGAAGGCGCCUGUCCCCGCUCACAGUUCUACCACUGAUGGUCCCACCUCAACCCACAGCAACGACAGUGUCCCCCAGUCCUGGUCAGGACUAUCCGGACUGGGUGUGGACUCCUUCAAAAAGCUCCGCUCCUCUGUGCUCCAGGGUAUACAGAGUAGAGGGGCAGUCAGCCAAGAUGGAGACCAUGACCCAUCAGAUCAGGAAGUGGCUAACGGCACAGGUGUGGUCGACAUUGACCGUGGUCUAGAUGAUGCAGAAAAUCAUUUAAAGUUUGCAGGCGGAUACAGUGUGUCUAAUGGAAACUUUGAUUGGCAAAUGUUGUCGGGGAUGAGCCACUGUGGAUCAGAUAUUGAGGACUACGAUGAUGAGGAAAAUGAUGAAGGAGAUGGUCUCACGCGCAACACGCGGAUCUCACGCAGUAUCAGGAGAGCGUAUGGACCCGGACGCAUCUCUUUACUGGACACAGGGAAUAGGAGGAUAGCAGGAAGCGGUACAAAUGAAGCGACGGACAGUCGAAAACCAGAUCAGACAUCCAGCACCAACGUCCAAACAAAGAACAUGGAUGAGAACACAAAUGUGACGGUGCUGAGCAGACUGAGCAAAAGUGCAGAAAAUCUUCACAUAUUUAAGGCACCUUUCAGACGCAAAGCGUCGUCCCCAGGACCUCUUUUGCUUCAGGAGGAAGCCCAGAGGGCUAGCACGUCAAACGGGACGCCAAACAUGAAGAGCCCUGUGAUGACCAAGGGGCCGAUGCUAAAGCUAGUUGGCAGCAUGACUGACCUGACUGUCAGACGCAGGCGGAGUCCCUCCCCGAGCCCUACCUCUCCAUCUCUGUUGUCACCCCUGACCCGUCUCCAUGACGACUACUCCCGCCGCGUGCCUUGCCUCACAACCAGUGAGCGACAGCGCCGACCCUCGCCUGUCAGAGCCCGGGUCAUGUCUCUCGAACGCAGCCCUCUGGUUCAUCUACAGCCUGAAUACAGUGACAGCCUCCAGCAGCACCAGGUCCUUAUCAGCCCGGUUUCCGUGGAGCCCCCAGAGGGAACAGAGCAGACUUCCCCUGGUGUCCCUGCUCAUUAUGAACCACUAACUGAAGCCACAACAAGUGGUUAUAAACAGACAGCACAAUGCGAUUCAGCUCCUCUUAGCCAGAAAGAACAUCCCCAACAACAAGAUCAGACUGAAGUAAGCGUGCUUCCAAAUGAGUGUGUAUGUCGGGGAGCGGACACAGAUCAGGAAAACCAAGAGGAAACAUCGGAUGAACAAGAGCCAGAAGCACUUCUCCAAACGGAGGAAGUCUCUCCAACAACCAGCAGCACCCCUCCUAUUGUGCCUCCAUGCCUCUCGGAGUCGCCCACCGAUGCAUCCACGGAAACAUGCGCCGUCAAGCCCAGGCGAAGGAGUGGACGCUCGAGACCUCGUCCCAUCUCUGACUACGGGCAGCUCAUUUCCAGGAAGCACUCUAUUCCAGAGGAAGUGGCAGAACUGCAUGCUGAAGAAAGGACAGCUAAUACAUCAUCGCAUAAAGACUGCAGUGGGAGUGACGCAUGUGGGAAUGGAGAGAGCCCUGAGAACUGCAGCAUCAACGUUCAAGGCGCGAGGCAUCGACCGAUCUCCGUGAUAGGAGUUGUUGAUCUGUUCUCCUCUGAUACUGAGGAGAAAGACGACCACCUUCCUUCUCUUUUGUCGCGGCCGCCCAUCCCCUCCCACCAGGUUCCCCCCUACAGAGCCGUGUCUGCCAGGUUUCGACCCUCCGCCCUCUCCCAAAGCACUCCCAUCGGACUGGACUGCGUUGGACGGCGUCAGCUGCACAGAGUCCUCAGCGUCGGUGUGUCUGAGUGCUCGGCGACACUUGAUGACAGCGUCAGUGAAGAGGAGGAGGGCAGCUUUGAUGAGCUCACUGAUACCCCGCCCUACCUUCAGCCAGGGGUGGAGCUCUCUGUGCUCAACGAGUGGAUAAGCUCUGGCCAUACGGUGUAUGCUGAGGCUCUCUGGGACCAUGUGACCAUGGAGGAGCAGGAGCUAGCCUUCAAGGCUGGAGAUGUUAUCCGUGUCUUGGACGCCUCACAUAAGGACUGGUGGUGGGCCAGGGGGGCUGACAAGGAGGCCUGGUUCCCUUCCAGCUUUGUGAGGGUGCGAGUGAACCAGGAGGACUCGAGUGCAGAAAGUGUGGAGAGUGUAGCGGACCUGGAAGAUCCAGCUCCCAGGGACACGCACAGCGUUCAGCACAAGGAACAGAUGAGAACCAAUGUGGUUCAGGAAAUCAUGAAUACUGAACGCAUCUACAUCAAGCACCUAAAGGACAUCUGUGAGGGUUACAUCCGCCAGUGCCGUAAACACCCGGACAUGUUCACUGAGCUGCAGUUGAAGACCAUCUUCAGCAACAUAGAGGACAUCUACAGGUUCCAGAGGCAGUUUCUCAAAGACCUGGAGAAGAAGUACAACAAAGACCAACCACAUCUCAGUGAAAUUGGCUCUUGUUUUCUCUUGCAGGGAGAGGGCUUCUCUAUCUACUCCAACUAUUGUAACACUCAUCCAGCAGCCUGCGCUGAGCUCCAGCGCCUUAUGAAAUCUAGAAAAUAUAAGCAUUUCUUUGAGGCCUGCCGGCUACUUCAGCAGAUGAUCAACAUUUCCAUUGCCAGUUUCUUGCUCACGCCCGUCCAGAAGAUCUGCAAAUACCCCCUGCAGCUAGGAGAACUGCUCAAGUACACCCCCAAAGACCACAGUGACUACAGCGGAGUGAGCAAAGCGUAUGAGGCGAUGAAGAAUGUGGCCAGUUUGAUAAAUGAGAGGAAGAGGCGGCUGGAGAGCUUCGACACCAUCGCUCACUGGCAGGUGGCCAUUCUUCACUGGGAGGGGCCGGAUGUACUGGAGCGCAGCUCAGAGCUGAUCCAUUCUGGCGAGCUGACUCGAGUCGUCCGACAAGGCAAAAUGCAACAGCGCAGCUUCUUCCUGUUCGACCACCAGUUGGUCUUCUGCAAAAAAGACGUCCUGCGCCGAGACCUGCUCCACUACCGUGGACGGCUGGAUAUGAACCAGACCGAGGUUGUGGACGUGGCCGAUGGGCGGGACCUAGACCUGGGCCUGACCCUGAGAAAUGCUCUGCGCCUGCGCCACGCCUCCACUCUGGAGUUUAUGUGUGUGCUAUGCUGCAGGAAGGCCCAGGACAAGCAGAGGUGGUUACAGGCCUUCGCCAAGGAGAGAUACAGAGUCAAAGAAGACCAAGAGAUGGGAAUGGAAAUCAGUGAAGAGCAAAGAAAACAGGCCAUUGUUAAUGCCAGAAGAGCCAAACAGAAGAAGAGCAAAAACAUUGGUUACUCUGGUUCUGCCCCACCACACCAGCAAAACCUUCACCCACUUCACCAGCGUCACAUCACCAUCCCAACCAGCGUGCCUCAGCAGCAGGUGUUUUCACUGGCCGAGCCCCCAAAACGAAAGCCUUAUCACCUGUUGUACAGCAUCACCAGCAAAGCCUUUUUCAAGAAAUGAGGCUUCCCUCAUCUCUUUUUUUCUCCUCCUCGUGCAUGUUCAGAGCACGCCCAAUCCGUCCUGAAGACUCCAAGAACACUUAACUAUCUUUUUCUUUUGGUCUGCCUGUGAAUGUCAAGUCCUGUUCAAUUAUUUUUCUCUUUGUGUUUGAUUGUGUUGCAUCAUGAAGUUCAGUGCCUUGGAAGGGGCUUGACUUGAAGUGUUAAAAUACUGACUCGGUCCAUUGUGUUGCCAUAAAGAUGCUGCUCACUCGAGAGACUCCCACCCCUUUGUCUUAAAAAUACCAACUGAAAGAUUUUUAAAAAAUGUUAAUUAUGACGAUAUAUAUUCUGCUUUUUACGCCAACAAACAUGGUUUUACUUUAUUUCAGAGGCUGGACCCUUUUUCGGUGCGAGUCUGUCAACUCUGAGCACAAGACAGCCAGAGGAUAAAUUAACUGGCACAGUCACCUGCUUUGUUAACACUAGCAAAUGCAGUAGACUUUGUUUGUGCCUGUUGAAUAUGAGAUAGAAGGCCAAGAUAAGAGUUAAUGAAUGAAACAUUAGCCAUAGGACUGGAAGAGGUACGUUGCCAUCAGCAAGCUCCCUG